GUGCACAGCUCGGCGAACUGCUCCGUGGACCUCCCAGCGGGGCUGCUUUCUGAGGUGAUGGUCUCCUCGCUCCUUAGCCAGCCUGGUGGAGCCAGCUACUGACGUUGGAAAGGAGUUGGAGGAUGGAGCACCAGAUACUGCUACACCAUCUCAUCGGCAUGGACCUAUAUGUGGCAGCAAGUCCAUCUCAUCGCUUUUGGUGAAAGUCAGUCCAGUUUGUAAAGAUUCUCAUUGUGAGUAUGGCUAAACCAUCCCUUUGACUAAAAACCAAACCAGAUACUCCUUUACCUAUCAAUACCUCCUGCUGCUAAAAAGCAGCAGCUAAAAAGCAGCAGGAGGUAUUGAUAAGGGAAGUCCUAUCUAAAUUCCUGGUUUAGAGAAUGACUAUCCUCAUUUUAUGAGUUAAACAUUACCCCCAAUUAACACCUCUGAAAAACCCUCCCAACAUGUUUAUCUCAUUAAUAUCACGGGGUUGGCAGGUCACUGUAGACGAGGAACUGGGACACCAAAAGGAGAAACUCUGGCCACGCUUGCACCCUGUUCCCAAUCCUGGUCCAGUGUCACCCACAGAUGGUAAGGAGCUCUAGAGACCUCACCAGCCCCUGGGAUUGGUCACCUCACUCUUCUAUGGACAGAGAUUCCUGCUGGGAUCCUUUGAGGGCAAGCAGACCCUUCUUCCAGCUCGGACUGUGAACUCCACUGCAGCCGUAAGGACUGUCUGUGACAGUGAGCCCGAGAUGACUGGGCUCUGUGCUCCCUCCCGGCCCUCCAAUCCUUGGCCUGCCACAGAGAACUGAGCUCUUUUAUUAGCACCAUGAAUGUGACUGAUACAGCUAGCCAUUCCCUUGUGCGAAUGACUCAGUUUAUUAAUGCUCUGCUAAAGAUGGCUUCUUUGCUUGCCAGCAGCCUUAAACAGUAUUUCAUUAAAACUGGCUUAAUUAUUUUGAGAAGACGGCCCAAUUAAAAGCUAUACACUCCCUCUAUGUGAGUGUUUAUACAUAGAGCUGUAUAUAUAAUACAUAUUUGUAAGUGUGUAUAUAUAUAUGUGUGUAUGUAUGUGUCUAUAAAUAUAUAGGCUUAGCAAUUUCAUUACAUGGGAUAAAUUGUUGGAAAAAAUACCCAGGAGCUGGUCCCCUUUCUGUUGCUAGAUUCAGAGUAGAGGCCACCCCUCCACUCUGGGAGAGGCUGGUGUUGGUGAUCUCUCAAUGACUCUGCAAUGGAAGUCCCAACUGCACAGAGCCCUGCCCCAGUUUCAGGAGCCAGCAGCCUCGGAGAGGCGGAUCCUGACCUCUGCUCUGCUCUUGGGAUAGCCUUUCCCUUCCCAGCAGGGUUGAGAUACUUGGGCCGGGAAAUGUUGUGGCAAAGUGUUUGCCAAAGCUCAGGAGAGACACAGACUUGGGGCUUUUGUUUCUUGAGCUGGCUGUCUAGCUUUCCUAAUGAGCAAAUAUGUUCUCUUUAAGGAAACAAACAAACAAAGCAAAAACACCAAUUCAUCUGGAUUUUAUUCAUUUGUUUUAAAUACAAACAAACAAAAGGAGAGUGGUUAUUUCUGCACCAACUAUUUCAAAUGCAAGUUACUCCAUCGCUCGGGGUGGUUGGAUGGUGCUUGUCACCAUAGGACCCACAGGGCUAGUUCCAACUGUUAUUCGGUAAGGCUUUUUUCUUUCCAAAAUUCCCAGUGUUCCUUUAAGGCCCAUUUAGCUGCGGGUUUUGUUUAUUCUCCCGGCAAUCAGCAUUUAAAAUAAGACAAACAAGCAUUUUUUCCUGGGCUGUGAAUCCCCCCGGCCAGCCUCCACCUGCACACCUGAAGCCAGCAUGUCCAAUCAAAUUUCUCUGUAACCCAUAUCCCCUUUAGAGACUUGCCCCCGUCGUAUACCAGGCUGGAAAUAGAGAACUUAAGCAGGGCAAAUGUAAUUUUAAGAAUUGCUAAUGAUGCUAGAAAUCUGCAAUGCAAUUAGCGUCAUUGGAUUUGGCGCUCCUCCGAAGGCACAAAACUCCUUGUCAUAGCGCAGUGGCAGCAGCGGCAAGUGCCUCCGCAUGUGCCGGGCUGUCCGGGUAUGCUGGCAGCCGCUUUGCACUGAGAUGUGAGCAGUUGGUUAGGCUUCCUCUCUUUCUUUCUCACAGAUACUGACUUCUUUGUCUCUUUUCUGGGUUGCAGAGGGAUGGGUAUUUUCCAUUGAUUAUUACUUUAGCAUUUGACCCUCCAGUGGAGUCACCCUGUUUUUUUUUUAGAAAACUGAGACUCUCACUUUGUGAAUUCACUGUGCUCUCUGGGAUUUCAGUGCUGUAGUUCAACCACCAAUCCCCCUGUCCUGAACUCCAGUACUUCUGAUGCUAUUAAUUGGUUCCUCAACAAUUGUGGCCUUUUCCAUCAUUGCCCACCAUAGUAUAUACUUUUUCUUUCUCUCUCUUUUUUCUAAUUUCCUUGUCUUCUUCACUCUCCAUGGAGCCAGAGGUAGUAUGAAGAGUUAAAAAUAGGAAUAUAAAGAAAGCCAGAGGGACAGAGGGAGUGAGAAAGAAAAAUUUUAAAAAGGGAGGAAAUGAAUUAUUGGAUUAAAAAUAAACUUUUACUUUUUUGCAGAAAAAUUAUUUUUGCUCUCUGGGAAAAUAACAUGGGCCAGGCAUAAAAAGCAUGUCAGCUGGCUAAAAGAUUGCAAAAUCCAGAAGAUGAUCUCGAUGUGUCUGUUCAAUUUAGCAAGGGUAUCUACUAGGGGAUCCUCUUUUAAAUAUGGAGGCCCAAAUCAGAAGCUUGUAGAGGGGAGCUAUUCUUCCAAGAUUCCAGAUGUGUCUGUGAGACAACACGUUAUGGGGCAAAUUGAUUUCACCCUUGGGAAACCAGGGAGAUUUUCAAAGUUAUGUCUGCAAAGCCAGCUAAUGCAAUUCCCCAUUAGUGCAUUAAAGUGCGCCCUUAUUAAUUCAAACAUAAAGGCAACAAAAUAAGCUUUUAAAUUUAAAAUAUAAUACAUAUAUAAUGAGCAUGUGUGAAAGCCUUAUUCAAAUGAAAAUACAGGAGUGUUUGAACUACUGAGGUAUCUUUUGUAUUGAAUUAUGAGCAUAUGUAAUAGAUUUAAUUAUUAAUUUCCCCAUUGUUCUAUGCACACAGACAGGGUUCAAGGCACAGUCAUUCUCUGGCUUUCAUAGAUCUAAUUUGUAUAAUUAUUGCCUGAAUAAAAAAUUGCUCCAAUUCCUAGCUCUCUUUCUUUCUUUCCCCCUUCUAAAUACUAUUUCAAUGCUGCAUUCCAAAAGGGGAACACCUGCCACUUCUUCAAAGUCAGCUGAUCAUUUGGAAUGAUGGACGGCGCUGCUGCCGAUGACGUCCCCUUUCAAGUCUCUUUGUCUAAGUGAAUUAUCGUGCAUCCUUUUAAUUUUAUUGAACAAAUUACAUUUGUCAAGGUCUAUCUUUGUAAAUAAAUGAUAACUAGAGA
rnacentral:lncRNA from 1 species